GUGUUCGGGUUGUCAUGCCAAUGGGUGUUCGGGUUGUCAUGCCAAUGGCACUGCCCGGUAGCUAAAUGCGGAAGAGAUAAGUGCUGAAAGCAUCUAAGCACGAAACUUGCCCCGAGAUGAGUUCUCCCUGAGACUUAGAGUCUCCUGAAGGAACGUUGAAGACGACGACGUUGAUAGGCCGGGUGUGUAAGCGCAGCGAUGCGUUGAGCUAACCGGUACUAAUGAACCGUGAGGCUUAACCUU
rnacentral:rRNA from 1 species